UUGGGAACUUUUUCUUCGAAUUCUUCGUCCAUGGAGACCAACAACAAGGACAUUGACGAGUCGAGCCCUUCUCUAGCCAAGCAAGUCGACGGAGCUGACGAGGAAAAUCCCAGAAAACUCUCGAAGGAUUCUUUGCUGAAGAAAUCUCUAGCAUCAAGAUAUGUCGAUUGUAGCGCCAAAUAUAGCUGGACUAUCGGUGGAUUGCCUUUAGGGCACGGGAGCAUGGUUGGUGAGCCAAUUCGCCGUAAUCAGUGGGAUUCUAGCCUCUUCGCUUGUCUCUUGCACAACAAUGAAUUCUGUAGCAGCGAUCUUGAAGUUGAUUUGAAAUGAUUAAGCAGAUUGACCUCUAGGCAGUGCACUUCAUAUUGUUUAGAAAACUGAUUUGAGGUGGAAUCAUUUCAUUUUCAAGAAAAUAAGCUUAAAGUGGACUUAAUGCUCACAAGUUGCGUUGAAGAUGUCUUCUUCAAGGCCCUGCCACUCGUUGAUGCACAGUGCUAGAAUGGUUGCUUAAAUAAUUGUUGAUGCAAAGCUCCACGCUAAGUUUGAGGAGUUGGACACUUGAAAGUUAGAUUACCGGACACUUAUGCAAUUUGCUCAUAUCAUAUUUGGUCUAUGAACCUUCACUAUUAUAAGCAGUUCAAAUUGUUUAUGCACAGAGGUUACUGCGUGAGAAAUUCUAUGAAGGUUGCAUCACAUCUGGUCUGCAACAUAUAAAUUAUGCCUUAUUGCCAUUAGUUUUUUUUUUCUGCACUGUAUGUGCUAAAUGAGCUUAUUCUUGUUCAUGAUUAAGAGAAAUUGAGUAUUCAUUUCAAACUUUGUAUUCAAUGAUGUGGUCUUAGAUGAAAUUCGUAUUUCUUAUUG